UGUUAAAAAUUUUAUCCAUUUGUACGGUUAAAAAUUAGCGUAGUUGACAAAAUAACCAAAUAAUGACACGUGGUGAGCGAUAUGUAUCUCAUGUUGGCGUACAAGAACGAAUUGUUAAUAGUAAAAAAUGGAUGAAAUUUUUAAUA
rfam:Gossypium raimondii Chr01_contig_266, whole genome shotgun sequence.